AAAGUCUGAACUGCGUAUCAUCCUUAAUAGUUGAUGCAGCCCUGCAAUGCAAUAUGUAAACAAUUGCGUGCAAAUUAAUUUACCGCACAAGAGAAAACGUGUAAAGAAUUUAAUAAAAUGGGAGGAACUGAAUCCUCUGCAGCUAAUAAAGGCGAAUAAUAAUCAUGUCUUCAAAAAUUCCACAACUAAAACGCGCAAAAGGAAAUCCUGAGAGGAUGUGGCCCAACAAUUCUUCAAGCAAACUGGAACACAACGUAGCUGGAAAGCAUUAAGGGACAAAUACAAAAGCAUGCGCUCGAUAUUUAAGACUAAUAAUCGCCAAAGUUUGGAAAUCGCGAAACCUGAGGAACGCCAGGUUCAUGAACCUGAUGAACACCUAGUUUGAGUAUUGGCUGGGACAUAGUUCCAAGGUUUCGAACCUGUUCGGGUUGCAGUCUUGGUAUGUGGAGAUCUAAAUACCUAAAAAAGAAAAGAUCAUUUCACAAUUGAAACUCGCUUCCUGGUUUUGAGUAUGGUUCGUGAACCUGAUAAACACCCAGUUUGAACAUCGGCUGGGACAUAGUUUCAUAGUUUCGAACCUGUUCGGCUUACAGUCUGGGUAUAUGGAGAUCUACUUACAU